GUCGCUCAUAUGAAAGUAGGCUGACAGGAAACGGGGGAAGACAUGCAGCAAAUAUCACCGGGUCCGGGACUCGAACCCGCGACGGCCGCACCGAGGACUCAUGUGGGUCGCGCUGUCCCCUACGCCACCACGGCACGCCCCAAACUGACCGGUCCAGUCCAGCGGGUCGGGUCCAGUCCGGUCCAGCAUGUCGGGUCCGGUCCAGUCCAGCAUGUCGGGUCCGGUCCGGUCCAGCGGGUCGGGUCCGGUCCGAUCAUUGAGUCUUUUUCCUGGAUGCUUUAGGAGCGAAGCGGCCAAUCAGGAAGAAGCAGCAUGAUUCUGCCGCCACCAUGUCUCUCCGCAGGCGUUUCUCCCGGCCAGUUCUGUCCUGGUUCUGUCCCGGUUCUGUCCCAGCAGCUCCGCUCCGUUCCCGCUGCAGUUCGUUUCUCCGUCUCAUUUCGGAUCCGUCGGCCUGCAGUGGCGCCGCUUCGCCGGUUCUGCCCGUCUGAAGUUGGACUUCCUGUUCAACUUAUGAAACUUUAACACAAAGUUCUGCAGACCAGAAAACAACUGACUGUUCUGGUCCAGAUGACCCAGAUAAAGUCAUAGAAACGUGCCAACCAGAACCGCCUGACUGACAUCUGAUAACUCGCUGCGGUUCUACGCUUCGCUCAAAGCGACUCCAACAUUCAGGAUUUGGAUCCACAAGAAUUAAUUCACAGAUUAUCAACAUUUUCUCUGGGAACUUCAAAAUAUUAUCAUGUCAAAAUGUUUUACAUUUUCUACAAUUAUCAGAUUUUAUAUGAAGAAUGAAAACUUAGAGACGGAUGGAUGACAGACGGAUGGACGGGAAAGGGGAUAAAUCUUGAAAUAAAAAUCUAGUUUUAAAAA